UGGGGAAUAUUGCACAAUGGGCGAAAGCCUGAUGCAGCAACGCCGCGUGAGUGAUGAAGGCCUUCGGGUUGUAAAGCUCUGUCUUUUGGGACGAUAAUGACGGUACCAAAGGAGGAAGCCACGGCUAACUACGUGCCAGCAGCCGCGGUAAUACGUAGGUGGCAAGCGUUGUCCGGAUUUACUGGGCGUAAAGGAUGCGUAGGCGGAUUUUUAAGUGAGAUGUGAAAUACCCGGGCUUAACUUGGGUGCUGCAUUUCAAACUGGGAGUCUAGAGUGCGGGAGAGGAGAAUGGAAUUCCUAGUGUAGCGGUGAAAUGCGUAGAGAUUAGGAAGAACACCAGUGGCGAAGGCGAUUCUCUGGACCGUAACUGACGCUGAGGCAUGAAAGCGUGGGUAGCAAACAGGAUUAGAUACCCUGGUAGUCCACGCCGUAAACGAUGAGUACUAGGUGUAGGAGGUAUCGACCCCUUCUGUGCCGCAGUUAACACAAUCAAGUACUCCGCCUGGGAAGUACGAUCGCAAGAUUAAAACUGCAAAGGAAUUGACGGGGGUCAAUAGC
rnacentral:rRNA from 1 species